rnacentral:lncRNA from 1 species
UUCUGAAAUAAUUUUGUCUGUAGUGUUUCUGACACAAGGGCUGCAGAGGAAGCAUGUGAUAACACUUACUCAUAUAGAUUAUAUAUAUGAAGUAAAAACACAUAGCCAGAACCUGUCUUUUUCUGAAUAUAGUUGCUCAGUUAAUUUUUUCUUCUGCAUAAGAAAUCAUCUCGAAUAUUCUUAUGUGAUACGUAAAGUGGGGAAGGUGGAAGAUAAACAUAUAACCCAUUGGAUUCUCUUUUCCAAUAUCUAGAUUAGAUCCUGUGCUGAAAGAGAAACCACGAAAAAAGAUGACAUUCAAGAAGAAGACAAAGGAAAUGUAAAACAAUGUGAAAUCAAUUAUGUAAAGAAAUUUCAGAGCUUCCAAGACCACAAACUUAAAAUAAGUAAAGAAGACAGUAAAAUUCUUAAAAAAGCUCAGAAAGAUGGAUUUUUGCAUGAGACGCUUCUGGACAGAGGGCCAAAUUGAAAGCCAACAGAUACAGCAAAUGACUGGGAUUUUUGUUUCUGCC